ensembl:snRNA U6 U6 spliceosomal RNA
GUGCUCACUUUGGCAGCAUACAUACUAAAAUUGGAAAGAUACAGAAAAUAUUAGCAUGUCUCUAUGCAAGGAUGAUACACAAAUUCAUGAAAUGUUCCCUAGUUUU